ensembl:scaRNA
GGAUUGGCAAUGAUGUGAUCACUGUGCAGUCUGAGUCCUGGGAACCAGAUGUCGGGGUAUGUUCUGAGAGUGAAUUGAGAGUG